rnacentral:misc_RNA from 1 species
AAGUCGUAACAAGGUUUCCGUAGGUGAACCUGCGGAAGGAUCAUUAACACGUAUCCAACGUUAAACCCCCUGUGAAUUUUAAGUCCUGCUCCGGAAUCUUUUCAAACAGCAAUCUUAGUAAAUCAUUGUUGAACAGUUUUGAUUUGAGACCUCUGUUUGGAGAGUGAACGUUGAGACGGUUGAGAUAAGCGUUGAUGAUUGUGUAAGGAUAACGCUUCUCGGUCGCUGGAGGCCCACACGGUCGGCGGACAUGCCUCAUGGGCGCAAGCCCCUUUUUAACCCCACUAAACUUCUCCUUCCCUGUGGCGAAAGCCGCAGGUGCAAAAAACGAACAACUGUUAACAAUGGAUAUCUUGGUUCUC